UUACCUCUGGGGCUACAGCAGUGCAGUGAGCUUUAGUGGAUCAAUACUUUAGUCUUGUCAUGCUAAUUGCUCAUUGGUUGACAUUCAUGAUCCUUCCUUGCUCCCUCCCUAUGUAAACUCUUUACAGCUGGAACAGCGAGAUGCAAAAAUCCUGAACCUUCAAAGCCAGCUCCUGCAGAAGAGAGAGGGCCUGGCAGCUGAGCUGGAUGCUUCAGGAGCAGAGGAUCUAUCAACUGCAGACCAAGCAUAGGGAGACGCAGGCAGACCUGGAACAGAAACCCAGCCAGCGCCAGCCGCUCCAACAGUACUUGGUGGCCAGAGAGUCGGCAGCAGGAAGCAUGAGGCAGGAAAUGACCCAAUCCUUGAGGUCUGCUUAUAGAUAAAGAAAACAAAGAUCCAGCUGGGACAGACUCAAAUGGAUGCACCUACUUUCAUGCCCAGGCUUUCAGAGGAGGUAAAACACAUACCUAAUCCUUCCAAUAGAUUCCAGAAAGAAUGUGGAUGACACUUCUCUUGAUCU